rnacentral:antisense_RNA from 1 species
UCCCAGGUGGCGUCCGGAUCCAGCGGGGCCCGCUCGCCGAAGAAGUCGCCGUCGCCCAGCACGCCGAGCGAGCUCUCGUCGCCGUACCGACCCGUGCCGACCUUGCGGACCUUGCCGUGCGCCAGCAGGAACACCUGGUCGGCCGGGCGCCCCGCCUCGGUGAUCGCGUCCCCCGGCGCGUACUCCCGCUGGACGAACGCGCCCGCCAGCGACUCCAGCACCGCGCCGUCCUCGAAGCCGCGCAGCAGCGGCAGCUCGCCCAGCUCCGGCGGGAUCACGCGGACCUCCGCGCCCUGCGUGACGAACUCGAUCCGGCCGUCGCCGACGGUGUAGGACAGCCGCCGGUUCACCCGGUACGUGCCCGCGGACACCUGCACCCAGGGCAGCACGCGCAGCAGCCAGCGCGAGCUGAUGCCCUGCAUCUGCGGAACGGUCUUGGUGGUCGUCGCGAGCUGCCGCGCCGCCGCCGUGCCCAGGCUCUGCGGUGACGGUUCCG